CCUAGUGGUUAGAGUGUAGGGGUGGCAGGUAGCCUAGUGGUUAGAGUGUAGGGGUGGCAGGUAGCCUAGUGGUUAGAGUAUAGAGGUGGCAGGUAACCUAGUGGUUAGAGUGUAGGGGUGGCAGGUAGCCUAGUGGUUAGAGUGGAGGGGUGGCAGGUAGCCUAGUGGUUAGAGUGUAGGGGUGGCAGGUAGCCUAGUGGUUAGAGUGUAGGGGUGGCAGGUAGCCUAGUGGUUAGAGUGUAGGGGGUGGCAGGUAGCCUAGUGGUUAGAGUGUAGGGGUGG
ensembl:lncRNA